rnacentral:tRNA from 1 species
AGCAUCGUUUGGUAGAGCACAAGGCUCUUAACCUUGUGGUCGUGGGUUCGAACCCCAC